GUGAACCUACGGGGGGCAGCAGUGGGGAAUAUUGGGCAAUGGACGCAAGUCUGACCCAGCAACGCCGCGUGAAGGAAGAAGGCUUUCGGGUUGUAAACUUCUUUUAAGGGGGAAGAGCAGAAGACGGCACCCCUUGAAUAAGCCACGGCUAACUACGUGCCAGCAGCCGCGGUAAUGCGCAGGUGGCAAGCGUUGUCCGGAUUUACUGGGUGUAAAGGGCGUGCAGCCGGAGAGACAAGUCAGAUGUGAAAUCCACAGGCUCAACCUGUGAACUGCAUUUGAAACUGUUUCCCUUGAGUAUCGGG
rnacentral:rRNA from 1 species